rnacentral:rRNA from 1 species
CUGGGGGCGGGCUUACACAUGCAAGUCGAGCGGUAAGGCCCUUCGGGGUACACGAGCGGCGAACGGGUGAGUAACACGUGGGUGAUCUGCCUUGCACUCUGGGAUAAGCCUGGGAAACUGGGUCUAAUACCGGAUAUGACCUUCGGUUGCAUGACUGGGGGUGGAAAGAUUUAUCGGUGCAAGAUGAGCCCGCGGCCUAUCAGCUUGUUGGUGGGGUAAUGGCCUACCAAGGCGACGACGGGUAGCCGGCCUGAGAGGGCGACCGGCCACACUGGGACUGAGACACGGCCCCAGACUCCUACGGGAGGCAGCAGUGGGGRAUWWUGCACAAUKGGCGGAAGCCUGAUGCAGCGACGCCGCGKGAGGGAUGACGGCCUUCGGGUUGUAAACCUCCUUUCGACUCCGACGAAGCGAGAGUGACGGUAGGAGUAUAAGAAGCACCGGCCAACUACGUGCCAGCAGCCGCGGUAWUACGUAGGGUGCGAGCGUUGUCCGGAAUUACUGGGCGUAAAGAGCUUGUAGGCGGCUUGUCGCGUCGAUCGUGAAAACUCGGGGCUCAACCCCGAGCUUGCGGUCGAUACGGGCAGGCUUGAGUACUUCAGGGGAGACUGGAAUUCCUGGUGUAGCGGUGAAAUGCGCAGAUAUCAGGAGGAACACCGGUGGCGAAGGCGGGUCUCUGGGAAGUAACUGACGCUGAGAAGCGAAAGCGUGGGUAGCGAACAGGAUUAGAUACCCUGGUAGUCCACGCCGUAAACGGUGGGUACUAGGUGUGGGUUUCCUUCCACGGGAUCCGUGCCGUAGCUAACGCAUUAAGUACCCCGCCUGGGGAGUACGGCCGCAAGGCUAAAACUCAAAGGAAUUGACGGGGGCCCGCACAAGCGGCGGAGCAUGUGGAUUAAUUCGAUGCAACGCGAAGAACCUUACCUGGGUUUGACAUACACCGGAAACCUGCAGAGAUGUAGGCCCCCUUGUGGUCGGUGUACAGGUGGUGCAUGGCUGUCGUCAGCCUCGUGUCGUGAGAUGUUGGGUUAAGUCCCGCAACGAGCGCAACCCUUAUCUUAUGUUGCCAGCGCGUAAUGGCGGGGACUCGUGARRGACUGCCGGGGUCAACUCGGAGGAAGGUGGGGACGACGUCAAGUCAUCAUGCCCCUUAUGUUCCAGGGCUUCACCACAUGCUUACAAUGGCCGGUACAGAGGGCUGCGAUACCGUGAGGUGGAGCGAAUCCCUUAAAGCCGGUCUCAGUUCGGAUCGGGGUCUGCAACUCGACCCCGUGAAGUUGGAGUCGCUAGUAAUCGCAGAUCAGCAACGCUGCGGUGAAUACGUUCCCGGGCCUUGUACACACCGCCCGUCACGUCAUGAAAGUCGGUAACACCCGAAGCCGGUGGCCUAACCCUUGUGGAGGGAGCCGUCGAAGGUGGGAUCGGCGAUUGGACGAAGUCGUAA